UACGAAGGGGGCUAGCGUUGUUCGGAAUUACUGGGCGUAAAGCGUACGUAGGCUGUGUCGUAAGUCAGGGGUGAAAUCCCAGAGCUCAACUCUGGAACUGCCUUUGAAACUACGAUGCUAGAAUCUCAGAGGGGGUAGCGGAAUUCCAAAUGUAGGGGUGAAAUCCGUAGAUAUUUGGAGGAACACUGGUGGCGAAGGCGGCUACCUGGAUGAGUAUUGACGCUGAGGUACGAAAGCGUGGGGAUCAAACAGG
rnacentral:rRNA from 1 species